GUCUAGUGGUUAGGAUUUAUGGCUCUCACCCAUAAGGCCGGGGUUCGAUUCCCCG
rnacentral:tRNA from 1 species